GCCCCGUGUUUCAUUUAGUCUGCGGCCGCCGUUCGUCUGCGCAGCCGCAGAUCUGAACAGUCACGGUGCUUCCCACGUGUGAGCGUUUGCCGUCCGCGGUCUCCCGGCGCGAGCCCAGAAGCGUCUGGUGACCCCUGACUGCUGCUGCCGGAAGCCCACUCGUGGCAGGGCUUGAGUACGUCAUAGUUCUCAGCUGGACUAGGGACGCAGCGCCGGGGGCUUAGGAAGAUACAUUGGAAAUUUCUGGAACCAGGAAGUCCGAAAUGAAGGUGGCAGCAGGAUCACGCUUCCUCUGAAACCCUGGGGGCAGCACCCUCUACUGUGGCGUGUCUUGCAUGGACGUGGUGGCCUUGACCGUGCAGCUCUGGAGUGCCGCGGGAAGCAAUGGACUCAGACCCACCUCCCCCAUCACCCCACGCACAGCAACAGUGUGCACUUUGCACUGGGUCUGCUCGGCUCCGGGUCCGAGUCCAGGGCCCAUCCUCGAACCCCUAAGAUAGAUGGCAGUCCUACUAGCUGGGUGUCAGUGGACACGAACUUGACUGUGGACUAGGUGUGACCUCAGGCCAUCCUGAGUGGGCGUGGAGGCUUCAGAAAUGGUCAUUAAACUAUUUUGCAAAGCUGAA